AUUGAACGCUGGCGGCAGGCUUAACACAUGCAAGUCGAGCGAGCGGCGGACGGGUGAGUAAUGUCUGGGAAACUGCCUGAUGGAGGGGGAUAACUACUGGAAACGGUAGAUAAUACCACAUACCAUCAGAUGUGCCCAGAUGGGAUUAGAUAGGCGGUGGGGUAAGGGCUCCCCUGGGCGACGAUCCCUAGCUGGUCUGAGAGGAGGACCAGGCAACCUGGACCCGAGAGUCGCGCCAGACGCCUCAGGGAGGCAGCAUCGGGGAAUAUUGCACAAUGGGAGCAAGCCUGAUGAAGCCAUGCCGCGUGUGUGAAGAAGUCCUUAGGGUUGAAAAGCACUUUCAGCGAUGGGGCGGUACUCGCAGAAGAAGCACCGGCUAACUCCGUGCCAGCAGCCGCGGUAAUUC
rnacentral:rRNA from 1 species